CCAAUAGCGUAUAUUAAAGUUGUUGCAGUUAAAAAGCUCGUAGUUGAACUUCAGGCCUGGCUGGACGGUCCGCCUUCCGGGCGAGUACUGUCUGUGGUCGGGUCCUACCUUCUGGCGAAGCGGCAUGGCCUUAACCGGCCGUGGCGGGGAACCAGGACUUUUACUGUGAAAAAAUUAGAGUGUUCAAAGCAGGCAAUUCGCUUGGAUACAUUAGCAUGGAAUAAUGGAAUAGGACAAUGGUUCUAUUUGUUGGUUUCUAGGACUGUUGUAAUGAUUAAUAGGGAUAGUUGGGGGCAUUAGUAUUCAAUUGUCAGAGGUGAAAUUCUUGGAUUUAUUGAAGACUAACUACUGCGAAAGCAUUUGCCAAGGAUGUUUUCAUUAAUCAAGAACGAAAGUCAGGGGAUCGAAGACGAUCAGAUACCGUCGUAGUCUUAACCAUAAACUAUGCCGACUAGGAAUCGGGCGAUGUUGACAAAAUGACGCGCUCGGCACCUCAUG
rnacentral:rRNA from 1 species